rnacentral:rRNA from 1 species
AUUGAACGCUGGCGGCAGGCCUAACACAUGCAAGUCGAACGAGUGGCGGACGUGUGAGUAAUGUCUGGGAAACUGCCCGAUGGAGGGGGAUAACUACUGGAAACGGUAGCUAAUACCGCAUACCAUUGGAUGUGCCCAUAUGGGAUUAGCUAGUCGGUGGGGUAACGGCUCACCUAGGCGACGCUCCCUAGCUGGUAUGAGAGGAUGACCAGCCACACUGGAACUGAGACACGGUCCAGACUCCUAAGGGAGGCAGCAGUGGGGAAUAUUGGACAAUGGGGGAAAGCCUGAUGCAGCCAUGCCGCGUGUAGGAAGAAGGCCUGCGGGUUGUAAAGUACUUUCAGCGGGGAGGCGGUACUCGAAGAAGAAGCACCGGCUAACUACGUGCCAGCAGCCGCGGUAAUAC